GACGAACGCUGGCGGCGUGCUUAACACAUGCCAGUCGAACGGAAAGGCCCUGCUUUUGUGGGGUGCUCGAGUGGCGAACGGGUGAGUAACACGUGAGUAACCUGCCCUUGACUUUGGGAUAACUUCAGGAAACUGGGGCUAAUACCGGAUAGGAGCUCCUGCUGCAUGGUGGGGGUUGGAAAGUUUCGGCGGUUGGGGAUGGACUCGCGGCUUAUCAGCUUGUUGGUGGGGUAGUGGCUUACCAAGGCUUUGACGGGUAGCCGGCCUGAGAGGGUGACCGGCCACAUGGGGACUGAGAUACGGCCCAGACUCCUACGGGAGGCAGCAGUGGGGAAUAUUGCACAAUGGGCGGAAGCCUGAUGCAGCAACGCCGCGUGCGGGAUGACGGCCUUCGGGUGGUAAACCGCUUUCGCCUGUGACGAAGCGUGAGUGACGGUAAUGGGUAAAGAAGCACCGGCUAACUACGU
rnacentral:rRNA from 1 species